UGUCCCGUAUCGGUAUCGGUUGGCGUAACGGUGACCUCUAAAACCGAUACGGAUACGGGAGCGUAAUGGCCCGUAAUAGCGCAAAAAAUUUUUUUGCCAAAAAAAUAUGGAUUAAAUCCGGAAUAUUCUAAGCAUUCCAAAUAUGCAUUCAUUUAUAAAUUGGAACAUGUUUAUGGUGGUGUAACGGUCCACUCUUUGGUGAGAAGUUGCAUCGGACUGUCUGAUGAAUUUAUGAACCAGACAACCUGAAUUUGACUACAAAAUUCAUAUAUUUAAUUUUCUAACUAUCUACUAUCAAUGAUAGAUAUAUUAGAAUGAAUGUAAUAUGAAUUUCAUAUCUUACAUUAGGUGUUUGCAAUUAUUUUUGAGGAAUUUCUCGAACAUACCUGUGCACAAAAAAAAUAUAAAAUGGCACCCCAAAUCUAUAAAAUGCACAUUAACAUGUUCUACUAUGAUUAACACAUCACAUGGCAUAAUUAAAACAGCAAAACAAUCAUUAAAAAAAUGAUUUUUCGAAUUUUUUUUUUAAGGGCCAUAAUUAAUGCGUAAAUAGAAAAAAAAUAUAAAAAUAUACAUAUAAAAUGGCACCCCAAAUCUGUAAAAUGCACAUUAACAUGUUCUAUUCUGAGUAACACAUCACAUGGCAUGAUUAAAAUAGCAAAACAAUAUUAAAAAAUGAUUUUUCGAAUUUUAAAAAAAAGGGGCCACAAUUAAUGCGUAAAUAGAAAAAAAUAUUUUAAAAAAUAUAAAAUGGCACCCCAAAUCUGUAAAAUGGACAUUAACACGUUGUACUAUGAUUAACACAUCACAUGGCAUGAUUAAAACAACAAAACAAUCAUUAAAAAAUGAUUUUUCGAUUUUUUUUUU